GAUGAACGCUGGCGGCGUGCCUAAUACAUGCAAGUCGAGCGAACAGACGAGGAGCUUGCUCCUCUGACGUUAGCGGCGGACGGGUGAGUAACACGUGGAUAACCUACCUAUAAGACUGGGAUAACUUCGGGAAACCGGAGCUAAUACCGGAUAAUAUAUUGAACCGCAUGGUUCAAUAGUGAAAGACGGUUUUGCUGUCACUUAUAGAUGGAUCCGCGCCGCAUUAGCUAGUUGGUAAGGUAACGGCUUACCAAGGCGACGAUGCGUAGCCGACCUGAGAGGGGGAUCGGCAACACUGGAACGGAGACACGGUCCAGACUCCUACGGGAGGCAGCAGUAGGGAAUCUUCCGCAAUGGGCGAAAGCCUGACGGAGCAACGCCGCGUGAGUGAUGAAGGCCUUCGGAUCGUAAAACUCUGUUAUUAGGGAAGAACAAAUGUGUAAGUAACUAUGCACGUCUUGACGGUACCUAAUCAGAAAGCCACGGCUAACUACGUG
rnacentral:rRNA from 1 species